rnacentral:lncRNA from 1 species
UUUUCUUUCACCCCGGUCUUUGAAUUCUCCAGGCACAGCUAAUCACCCAGAUAGAGAAGGAGAUGCUCUUCCUGAAAGGAAUGUCAAAGGCUAAUCUCCCCAAUCUCUAGACUCAUGUUUUCACACCUUUAAAAUUUUUGCUCCAGCCAGGGUACAGCCUGGGUCUGUGUUCUGUUCACACUUAGAAGGGCGUGCUGAGCACAUUUAACCACAGGAGAAACAAACACAUCCAAGAGGCUUCUGCCAACAGCACUCUCUGGCCUGCUGAAAGAAAAACACACCACCAAAGUCAAAGGAAUGUUCAGCCCUGACUCAGAAAUGGAACUUUCCUUUCCUCUCCUGCUUUGGAAGUUGUUAGCCCAGAGUCAUGGUUGAUAUUUAAACUUUACCCAAAUGUAUGUGCAGCCAGAUGGACUAUGAGAUUAUUGGGAUUUGGUUUUCACAUAGACCACAAACCUGGAUGAGCUCAUUUUAUUCCAGAUGCAUUAUCUACUAAUCUUCAGGAAGAGGCUCCUUCAGUGAGAAGGAGCAUGGAAGAAUCUUCCCUGAAAGAAAAGAAAUAGCAACGUCUAAUCCCUGCUGUACGCGGGAAGGAAAAAAGCUCACCAACCUCCCAUGUCAGGGCAAGAAUCAGAAUUCCUCUUAAAUUCUUAAAACCCUGAAAAGUAAAGACAGAUAGUAACCCUAAAUAUGAUUCAUUGUUGAGUUACUAAAAAAUGGAUUCCAUUGCACCAGAAGAAAAUUAUGAGCAAUUUUAAAUUCCAAAGGGGAGGGAAUGUUUUUGGUUUAAUAACCAAAAGAGAGUAUGGCUUCUGACGAGAGCUUAGAGAAUAUGUCUACCAUAAUGGAAUCUAAUUAAUAUAAUCAUCUGAGUAACCAAGUAGUUAAUGAAAUAAACUACAUAAUCAAUCCCAAAAGCAAUUGGUCAGUUAGCA